rnacentral:tRNA from 1 species
GGAGAGGUGCCGGAGUGGUUGAACGGGGCGGUCUCGAAAACCGUUGAAGAAGCAAUUCUUCCGCGAGUUCGAAUCUCGCCCUCUCCG